rnacentral:rRNA from 1 species
UACGUAGGGUGCGAGCGUUAAUCGGAAUUACUGGGCGUAAAGCGUGCGCAGGCGGUUCGUUAAGUUCGUUGUGAAAGCCCCGGGCUCAACCUGGGAACUGCAAUGGAAACUGGCGGGCUUGAGUGUGGCAGAGGGGGGUGGAAUUCCACGUGUAGCAGUGAAAUGCGUAGAGAUGUGGAGGAACACCGAUGGCGAAGGCAGCCCCCUGGGUUAACACUGACGCUCAGGCACGAAAGCGUGGGGAGCAAACAGG